rnacentral:tRNA from 1 species
GCGGGCGUCGUAUAACGGCUAAUAUAAGUGCCUUCCAAGCACUGGAUGCGGUUUCGAUUACCGCCGCCCGCACCA